GGAGGGUGCGAGCGUUGUCCGGAAUCACUGGGCGUAAAGGGCGCGUAGGCGGCAUGCCAAGCGUGUGGUGAAAGCCCGGGGCUCAACCCCGGGUCGGCCGUGCGGACUGGCGUGCUCGAGCACUGUAGGGGCGGGUGGAAUUCCGGGUGUAGCGGUGGAAUGCGUAGAGAUCCGGAAGAACACCGGUGGCGAAGGCGGCCCGCUGGGCAGGAAGACACCGCAAGGUGUCGGCUGACGCUGAGGCGCGACAGCGUGGGGAGCAAACAGGAUUAGAUACCCUGGUAGUCCACGCCGUAAACGAUGGGCACUAGGUGCCUGGGGGAGCGACCCUCCGGGUGCCGGCGCUAACGCAUUAAGUGCCCCGCCUGGGGAGUACGGCCGCAAGGCUG
rnacentral:rRNA from 1 species